UAGCAUGGCUAACUGCUAUAGAAAUAUAGAGGAAAAUCCGCUCUAACACAUACUGCGAUGUAUGUAGUGUUCAUGCUAAACCUAAGAAGUUUAGGCAACUUAUAGUUGACGACUAGUGCAACAGAGACGAGCUUAUUUAGUUAAGAUGAAACGAUGUAAACUCCAUGAGUUAGAAACCCAAAUUUUGGUAGGGGAAUCGGAUAUUAGGAAUCAAACGAAAGUCCGAAGGUAUUUUUUAUACUUAGAUAAAUAGUUAGCGCUAAGAAAUUAGUACAGAAAGCGGUUUAUAAUG
rnacentral:RNase_P_RNA from 2 species